AAGGCACUUCAACUGCCAGUCCUUAGCAAACCAGCGGGAGAUUCUUUGAGGUGAAAUGCAUGCAGAAUGCAGCAGAAUCACAGAAUGGUUGAGGUUGGAAGGCACGUCAUCUAGUCCAACUCGCCUACUCAAGCAGGUCACCCAGAGCAUGUUGCACAGGAUCACAUCCAGGGCAUUGAUGAAGAAGCUGAACAAGACUGGACGCAGAACUGAGCCCUGAGGGACACCACUAGCUACAGGCCUCCAGCUAGACUGUGUGCUGCUGCUGACAACCCUCUGAGCUCUGUUUUUCAGCCAGUUCUCAUUCCAUCUCACAGUCCACUCAUCUAGCCCACUCUUCCUGAGCUUGCCUAGGAGGAUGUUAUGGGAGACAGUGUCCAAAGCCUUGCUGAAGUCAAGGUAGACAACAUCCACUGCUCUCCCCUCGUCUCCCCAGCCAGCCAUUCCAUCACAGAAGGCUAUCAGGUUAAGCAUGAUUUCCCCUUGAUGAAUCCAUGCUGGCUACUCCUGAUAACGUUCUUUUCCUCCAUAUGCUUAGACAUGACAUCCAGGAUGAGCUGUUCCAUCACCUUUUCAGGGAUGGAGGUGAGGCUGACUGACCUGUAGUUGCCUGGAUCCUCCUUCUUGCCCUUUUUGAAAAUUUUGGAAAUUUUAAUCUGGAUUUUCUUUCCCCUGCUAAUUAUUCACUCCACAAUUAUCAUACACUUAGAGUUUAAUGCUGUA